GACGAACGCUGGCGGCGUGCCUAAUACAUGCAAGUCGAACGAACCGCGACUAGGUGCUUGCACUUGGUCAAGGUGAGUGGCGAACGGGUGAGUAACACGUGGGUAACCUACCUCAUAGUGGGGGAUAACAGUCGGAAACGACUGCUAAUACCGCAUAGGACAUGGGAUCACAUGAUUCUGUGAGGAAAGGUGGCGCAAGCUAUCGCUAAGAGAUGGACCCGCGGUGCAUUAGCUAGUUGGUAGGGUAACGGCCUACCAAGGCGAUGAUGCAUAGCCGACCUGAGAGGGUGAUCGGCCACAUUGGGACUGAGACACGGCCCAGACUCCUACGGGAGGCAGCAGUAGGGAAUCUUCCGCAAUGGACGAAAGUCUGACGGAGCAACGCCGCGUGAGUGAAGAAGGUCUUCGGAUCGUAAAGCUCUGUUGUUAGAGAAGAACAGAGCAUAGAGUAACUGUUAUGCGUGUGACGGUAUCUAACCAGAAAGCCACGGCUAACUACGUG
rnacentral:rRNA from 1 species